UACAGAGGUCUCAAGCGUUGUUCGGAUUCAUUGGGCGUAAAGGGUGCGUAGGUGGCGCCGUAAGUCAGGUGUGAAAUUUCGGAGCUUAACUCCGAAACUGCAUUUGAUACUGCGGUGCUUGAGGACUGGAGAGGAGACUGGAAUUUACGGUGUAGCAGUGAAAUGCGUAGAGAUCGUAAGGAAGACCAGUGGCGAAGGCGGGGCUCUGGACAGUUCCUGACACUGAGGCACGAAGGCCAGGGGAGCAAACGGG
rnacentral:rRNA from 1 species